UAGAAGGUUCCUCCGUCCGGAAAUACUUGUCAUCAAAAUGAACAAAAGAGAAUGUAUCUAGAUGUAUAUUAAUUCUAGAUACAUCUUUUUUUAUCCAUUUUGAUAACAAGAAUUUUCGGACGAAGGGAGUACAAA
rfam:Triticum aestivum genome assembly, contig: Triticum_aestivum_CS42_TGACv1_scaffold_593568_7BS